UUCUCUCUCCUCGCCCUCUCUCUCUUUCUCUCUCUUUAUAAAUAUAAAUACAAACCCUCUCUGCUUCUUUCACCAUCUCACAUUUUCCUCUAUUUCUUUCUUUCUCCGGCUCCUCAUCAGUGAUCGUCCAUUUCGCCGAGAUCUGAGGCGUGUUCGGCGACGAUGAUGCAUGGCCUCAAUCCUUGGCAGCUAUUAGAUCGAGAGAGGACCAUUCGUAUACACAGUUGUUGCAGAGUUUGAUGGUCAGGUUCUUCAGUGCGAGAUCGAUUAUGGUUAUGGUGUUUCUCACUCUUUCUAUGUUGCUUCUGCCCUUAGUUUUGCCGCCGCUGCCUCCUCCACCGUUGCUCCUUCUCUUCGUUCCGGUGGUGAUCAUGGCUGUCCUCAUGCUCCUGGCCUUCUCGCCCACUCAGGUCCCCAACGUCGCCACCUCUGCUGUCUGAUCCUCGGAAUCUGCGCUCUGUCCAUAGAGAAAUGGUUGCUACGGACAUACAGAACAAUUCUUCUUGCGAGUAAAGAAGAAGAGCGGUGCGAGAUGAGGAAGGAAGGAUGAUGAUGAUGAGGAUAAUUGUGGGACCAGGAGGAGAAGGUGAGAGAAGAGUAAUGCAGCGUAAGCGGAGCGUGAAUCUGAAGUUAAUGUGGUAUUUAUUGCUAGACUUGUACAUUUACUGAUGCGUGUUCCAGAAUUUCUAUUUUCCCAUCCAAAAGCAGCAAAAGCUACCUCCACCUACUACUCUACCCUCAUAUCCUCUCAUAUCCUUUCAUAUCCCAUGCAAUGAUGCCAAACACCCAAAAAGAUGCAAUUUCUCCCAAACCGCUAACCCUCCCAAACGCGGCCUUAAGUGUUUGAUCAAACUUAAAAUUAAAAAAAAAAAAUGAAAAUAGGAGAGGACGGAGAAGAGUCAAAAGGUUGAGGGAAGAGAGGGUGUGUUUUGUAGAUAAAAUAGGCAGCAAUGGGACAGGUGGUGGAACCUGGGUGUUGGUGUUCUUUUGAAAACAAAAGAAGCUAAGGGAAGACGGUUUCAACUUUCAACUUUCAAUAUUAUUUGCUGUGGGCGUCACAUACAUCUGUAUUUGGUAGGUUUGUGGCAAUUGGGCGGUUUCCGACUUGCAAAAGCCACCUCAAAGUAGUUAGGUUUCAAUACUCCACUCGCUUCACCUCCUCCACUGAAAUGGUCUUUGUCUUGGUCUUUGGUAUUGGUCAUGUUGGAGAUGCUGUGAAUAAUGUUCUUUCCCCGAAAUGCAGCCAGGACUUGGACUUGUCUAUACAUUUCUGCCGCCUAAACUGGUGAUAGUUUUGUCAAUUUCUUGUUGUCUAAUAGGACAGAAAAUAAAAAUAAAUAAAAAAAUGAUGGCCACCUAGAAUUCUCCGUCC